rnacentral:lncRNA from 1 species
GCCUGGCCAUCCACGAGGGCAUGCGGGCGCCGCCGGCGUUCCUCAUCGAGCUGCCCAUGUUAGCGGCCGCGCUGCACAGGUAGAUGGGCGCGGGGACCGUGAACUGGCACUCGAGAGCGACACCCGCAGCGCCAUUGUUGUGCGGUGGAGCUGCUGCUUCCUGUUCGAGAGGUAAGAGAGAGGGUGAGGAGAGGUAGUACACCGGUGGUAGAAGGGGGUGAGGGAGGAGGUAGCUCACCGGCGGUGGGAGCCAAUCUUAAGAUACAGAAAAAAAAUUCAUGCAGCCAUGAUGGGCCACGAUCCAAGCCGCCCCAGAAUCCUUGAGUCACCGGCAAACAAGCAGGCAAGCAGCACCACCAGACCGCCUCCUUCCGCCACAGGCCCCGCAACCGCCGUCGCCACCAGCCAAGGGGGGUCCCGGCAGGUGGCGGAGCAUUG